AGAGUUUGAUCCUGGCUCAGGAUGAACGCUGGCGGCGUGCCUAACACAUGCAAGUCGAGCGAUUCUCUUCGGAGAAGAGCGGCGGACGGGUGAGUAACGCGUGGGUAACCUGGCCUGUACACACGGAUAACAUACCGAAAGGUAUGCUAAUACGGGAUAAUAUAUAAGAGUCGCAUGACUUUUAUAUCAAAGAUUUUUCGGUACAGGAUGGACCCGCGUCUGAUUAGCUUGUUGGCGGGGUAACGGCCCACCAAGGCGACGAUCAGUAGCCGACCUGAGAGGGUGAUCGGCCACAUUGGAACUGAGACACGGUCCAAACUCCUACGGGAGGCAGCAGUGGGGAAUAUUGCACAAUGGGCGCAAGCCUGAUGCAGCGACGCCGCGUGAGGGAUGGAGGCCUUCGGGUUGUAAAGCUCUGUCUUCAGGGACGAUAAUGACGGUACCUUUCGAAUAAGCACCGGCUAACUACGUGCCAGCAGCCGCGGUAAUACGUAGGUGGCGAGCGUUGUCCGGAUUUACUGGGCGUAAAGGGAGCGUAGGCGGAUGAUUAAGUGGGAUGUGAAAUACCCGGGCUCAACUUGGGUGCUGCAUUCCAAACUGGUUAUCUAGAGUGCAGGAGAGGAAAGUGGAAUUCCUAGUGUAGCGGUGAAAUGCGUAGAUAUUAGGAAGAACACCAGUGGCGAAGGCGACUUUCUGGACGAAAACUGACGCUGAGGCGCGAAAGCCAGGGGAGCGAACAGGAUUAGAUACCCUGGUAGUCCACGCCGUAAACGAUGAAUACUAAGUAUUGGGGUUGUCAAAUUUCAGUGCUGCAGUUAACGCAGUAAGUACUCCGCCUGAGUAGUACGUUCGCAAGAAUGAAACUCAAAGGAAUUGACGGGGACCCGCACAAGUAGCGGAGCAUGUGGUUUAAUUCGAAGCAACGCGAAGAACCUUACCUACACUUGACAUCCCUUGCAUUACUCUUAAUCGAGGAAAUCCCUUCGGGGACAAGGUGACAGGUGGUGCAUGGUUGUCGUCAGCUCGUGUUGUGAGAUGUUGGGUUAAGUCCCGCAACGAGCGCAACCCUUGUCGUUAGUUACUACCAUUAAGUUGAGGACUCUAGCGAGACUGCCUGGGUUAACCAGGAGGAAGGUGGGGAUGACGUCAAAUCAUCAUGCCCCUUAUGUGUAGGGCUACACACGUGCUACAAUGGCUGGUACAGAGAGAUGCAAUACCGCGAGGUGGAGCCAAACUUAAAAACCAGUCUCAGUUCGGAUUGUAGGCUGAAACUCGCCUACAUGAAGCUGGAGUUACUAGUAAUCGCGAAUCAGAAUGUCGCGGUGAAUACGUUCCCGGGUCUUGCACACACCGCCCGUCA
rnacentral:rRNA from 1 species